UCACCCCAACAAAAGAAGGAUUAGAAUCGUUAGCUAAAGUUGAAUCUUGGUUGUAUUUACCAUGGGCAUUCAACAAGUCUCACAAAUGCCAAAAGGAGUAAUUAAUAUCUCUAUUACUUCUCUUGCUUGGAAGAUUGAGCUCAUACAAGCUAAUACCACUGCCUAAACAACAAGAAGCUUUAGAGCUACCAUUACCUUUUCCUAAUUUUUUGAUUACACAUUAUCACCCUUCCUAAUUGUUUCAGUAGGUGGAUUUUGAAUCUGCCAUUCCAGAUGCAUGUAUUGCCACAACAAUCCCUAUUCCUCAGAUUAAGUGAUAUAUCAGGAACCUGCAAUUGCUGUCUCAACAUUAACUGUUGCUAAUUCCAACCUUGGGUUAGAUGACUCUAACAUGAGAGUUGUUUCUGGGUAUGAUCCAUCUAAUUGAUCAUUUGUCACUGCAUCAGAUGCAUCAACUUGUAAAGGUGUGUGGAAUGUGGCCUGAGCUAACUGUUGGUCAAUAUCCUCUUUGCUCAAAUUAAUUAUCUCCUUUUUGUCAGUCUUUUUAAUUUACAGGUUCUCUAUUUAACUCAUCAGAAUCUUCACCAGUUACCAUCAUCUGAAGCAAGUUGACUUCUGUAGUUUCUUGUAGCUUCUCACUUUUUUGUAUUUUUUUGUUUCAAAUGUUGUUGUUGUCUUCUUCUUUAGUAUUUUGCCACUGUUGUGUAUUGUCUUGAACUUUGUCAUUGUUGUAUUUUCCUUCCUAACACCCUUUCCCUACACUUUUCUCCUGAUUAGCAUUUUCCUGAAAUUUUGUUUGUUUCUUCCUCUCGUGCA